rnacentral:rRNA from 1 species
UACGGGGGGAGCAAGCGUUGUUCGGAUUUACUGGGCGUAAAGGGCGCGUAGGCGGUCGCGACAAGUCACUUGUGAAAUCUCCGGGCUUAACUCGGAACGGUCAAGUGAUACUGUCGGACUAGAGUACAGAAGGGGCAACUGGAAUUCUCGGUGUAGCGGUGAAAUGCGUAGAUAUCGAGAGGAACACCUGCGGCGAAGGCGGGUUGCUGGGCUGAUACUGACGCUGAGGCGCGAAGGCCAGGGGAGCAAACGGG